rnacentral:rRNA from 1 species
UACGUAGGUGACAAGCGUUGUCCGGAUUUACUGGGCGUAAAGAGCGCGCAGGCGGUCGUUCAAGUCGAGUGUGAAAGCCCCUGGCUCAACUGGGGAGGGUCACUCGAUACUGAUCGACUCGAAGGCAGGAGAGGGUAGUGGAAUUCCCGGUGUAGUGGUGAAAUGCGUAGAUAUCGGGAGGAACACCAGUGGCGAAGGCGACUACCUGGCCUGUUCUUGACGCUGAGGCGCGAAAGCUAGGGGAGCAAACGGG